rnacentral:rRNA from 1 species
UCCGGUUGAUCCUGCCAAGGUCACUGCUAUCGGUGUUCGUCUAACCAUGCCAGUCAUAUGUUCUUCGUGAACAUGGCAUAUUGCUCAGUAACACGUGGAUAACCUGCCCUUGGGACCGGCAUAACCCCGGGAAACUGGGGAUAAUAUCGGAUACUCCGUAUCUGCUGGAAUGCUUUACGUUUUAAACGGUUUUUUUCCCCCCAAGGAUGGGUCUGCGGCCUAUCAGUAUACGGGUGUAAUGUACCUGCUACCCUACAACGGGUACGGUUGUGAGAGCAAAGCCCGGAGAUGGAUUCUGAGACAAUAAUCCAGGCCCUACGGGGCGCACAGCGCAAAUCUUUACAAUGCGGGUCACCGUGAUAAGGGGACACCAUGCUACAAAAAU